rnacentral:tRNA from 1 species
AGGCACGUAGCUCAGUUGGUUAGAGCACCACCUUGACAUGGUGGGGGUCGUUGGUUCGAAUCAAUCGUGCCUACCA